rnacentral:rRNA from 1 species
UCCUGCCUUGACACACGCCGUCGUACUACGAUGAAUGGCUAGUGAGCCCUCGAUUGUAUCGGUGGCUGCACAGUCGCUGUCUUCUGAAAGUUGGUCAAACUUGGUCAUUA